UUUUUGGGGGACACAAUUCAAUCUGUAAUAGGAACCCUAUGAGGCAGUUCUACUCUGUUCUGUAGGAUCGCUGUAAGUCAGAAUCGACUCAACGGCAGCAGGUUUUGGUUUUUUCCAAGUUUUUGACCACCCAGCCAAGCUGUGAGCAACUCCCUAUAAAUCAGUAUAGAUCAAUACUUUGGGCCAUAUCUCAUUCUAGACAGGAUGGGUGACCAGAUGUAUUACAGUUUGAAGAUCUACUCGCCAGGUUUUUCUUCACUGCCCUUCAGAUCUGUCACUGCACAGGAUGAAGAGUUGCAGCUCUGUCCACUUUCAGGUGGUUCCAGCAUCUGUGAGCUAGACUUGGCUUUUUCUUCCUCAGUCAUUUGGCCAUAAGGAACACAAGGAGGCCCUGGGCCUGACUCUAGAGAGGCAGCAAUGCAACAGGUGUCGAUGUUGAAGGAAUCUGACCCCCUGUUUAUGCAACUCUACCUCCUGCCCAUGUUCAGUCUCUUACCUGCCAUUUCCACUUGAUGAUAGAUGGCUGCUGCACACACGCCCAACCUUAUGGUGAGGUGGGUCAGACAAUGCCUGUCUUAUCAUGGAAUGAUUAGGCAUGGAGUCUGUCCUAGGAAAAAGGAGAAGCUGAUUCUCAAAAGGAGAAUAUCUCUAGAAAAAGAACAUGGCUCAGAUUUGCUUCCAAAUCCUGGAGAUCUGCACGGUGACUCUUCUGUUGGUCCUUGCUAGGGUCUCCGUAAAGAAUCCUUAUUUGCCACGGAUGUUUCAAGUUCCAUUGGAUCUUCUGGAUCAUAAGAUUCAAGUGGUGGAGCAGCAUGUGUGGCAGACAGCCUGAACUUGCUCUGGUUCCACUUGACACUGGCAGCCAUAUGAUGCCUUCAGAUGUGUAGAAAGAACUCAAAUGUGGUUAUGUUGUCUCCAAAAUCCGAAAAAGCCUGCCAAGCAAUUUUCAUUUACCUACCUUUUUUACUAGGUGCAGCAGCUUGGAGGGGAGAUCCCUUGGAGGAGAUAUCUUGACAUGCUCCAGACCACUGAACCCCCAGAAUUCACCAAGUUGCGAACCCCUGUUUUGGGGAGGUUAUUGCUCACUCUCUAGUUAUGUUUUACUGAAGCAUCUAUAAUAUUUGCUACUUCCUGCUUAUCAGAUCCAGUCCACAAAAUGUCACCAAUGUAGUGAACCAGAGUGAUGUUUAUGGGGUGUUAAGAUGGUCAAUAUGUCUGUGGACUGUACAGCAGAGAGCAGGAGAAUGGAUGCAGCUCUGAUGUUCUACCAGCUCCGUCUUCCAGAGGUGAUGCCAGUAAGCUGUGAGUGUAUUAAAACGUCGGGCAGGAGAGGAAGAGGAAAUGUACGUAAGUUGCGUUUUUGUAGUAUUUUAAAGCUAGAAGAGAGGAACACCCUGUCUGAAUGGUAUUCAUUCAACGACCAUGAUAGCCACCAUGUGGGACACUGCUCCAGACCUAGGGCAGGGCAGACUGAGCCUGUGCUCAUGGAGAGAGCAGUCUCAUGGGGAUACAAAUGUGUCAGACUGUGUAAGUGGUCCAUAGAACAGGUGACGGACUGUAGAGCAAUGGCAGUGGGUCUGCUGUUUAGAAGGAGUGAUGAGUGUCCUAGUGUGGCUGUAACAAAUCACCAGAAACUGGGUGGCUUACAAAAGAAAUCUGUUCUCUCAUAGUUCUGGAGGCACAAGUCUGAAUUCAGGGUAUCAGCAAGGCCAUGGACACUUAGUUUAAAAAAAAAAAAAAACAGGGUGAGAGAUGGGAGAAGGCCUCCCUCAGUGGUGCAGGCUUGCAGAAGAGGGAUGGGCACUGCUGCAGGAAUAGCACAAAGCCCCAUCCAGAUGCUUCUACCCUAAGGAACAAAAGCCUUAAACUGCUAGGGAAAGGACAACAAACCCUGUUGGCCCCAGGAUACAGGUAAAGGCCCAUCGAAGUUGGUGGAAAGGAAAAGAAAAUUCCUCUUACUGCAGGCAGAGGGCAGGAAAUCGUCCUGGACUCGGAGGGGCAGAAUCACUGGAAAAGCCUCAUUUCCCUAGACCCAGGAACAUAGGGCCUAAGACUGAGACUGGAACAGGGUAGCAGAAAACCCCCUGCCCUUCCAAACGGGGUUAGCAAGCACUGAGUAACCGCUAAUGUGAGAGAGGGGGGAAAUGUGGAGAAAGAACCUCUGAGAGGUACACAGGAAAGGUGUAAACCUGAGGGUGGAGCAGGAACAUUGUGAAAUACACUCUGGUAAAUCAGCCCCCUCCUUAAAAACAAGGUAACAUUAGGGGAGUUUGAAGCCAGUAGUGCAUUGAAUGUCUUGGAAGAAAUACAACCAGAAUGCUCCUUAGAAGCAAGGAUGGUGAGACUAUGUCUUACAUACUUUGGACAUGUUGUCAGGAGACACAACAAGUGCAUUGAAGGUAACCAUAGCAACCACUCAAAUCCAACUCAACUCCUAACUAGGUUGACUCAACUCUGCACAAUAAUGGCUUAGAAGAAAAGGCAUGUCCAUUUUCAGGCAUAAAUCAUUCUUACCUCAGUCUCUGCUGUCCUACCCAUGUUUGGCAUUCAAUAAAAAAUUACAAGACACACAAAAGAGCAAGUAAAAUCAACCCACUGUCAAGAGACAAAUCAACUGAACCAGACUCAGAUGCUCAAGGUAUUGAAGCUAUUAGGCAAAUUUAAAAUAAUUAUGAUUAAUAUGUUGUAGGCUCUAGUGGAAAACAUGCACAAACAUGCACGAACAAAUGGGGAACUUCAGAAGAGAUGGAAACUAUAAGGAAGAGUCAAAUGGAAAAGCUAGGGGAAAAAACAGUAACAGAGAUGAAGAAUGCCUUCUAUGGCUUAUUGUAGAUGCAACACAGCUGAGAAAAGAAGCACUGAACUUGAAGGCCAGUAGAAAUUACUCAAACUGAAAUGGGGGAAAAAAGGUGAAAAAUACCCCAACAGCACAGAGCACCAGAGGGUAGAAGAAAUAUUAGAAGAGAUAAUGGUCAGUAAUUUUCAAAAAAUAAUGAAAACAUCAAGCCACGGAUCCAAGAAGCCCAGGGAACCACAAACAGGAUAAAUACCAAAACAAAGCAAACAAACAAACCAAAAAAACACCUAGCUACAUCAUACUCAGACUGCUCAAAAGUUAAAGUAAUGAGGAAAAUUUGAAGGUGAAUAAAGAGGAACAAAGAUAGGAAUUACAACAGAUAUCUUGUGAGAAACUAUGCAAGCCAGCAGAUAAUGGAAUGCUAUCCUUAAAAUGUUGAAAGGAAAAAACUGAACUCAGAAUUCUAUAUCUAGAGAGAGAAUAUCUUUCAAAAAUGAAAGAGAAAUAAAGACUUUAUUAAAACAAACCAAAAAAGAGAAUUCAUUACCAGUAGAGCUACGUUAUAAGAAAGUUGAAGUUCUUCAGAUAGGAAUAUGAUACCAGACAUAGAAUUGGGUUUAUACAAAGAAAUGAAGAUCCCUGGAAAUGAAGGUAAAUAUAAAAUACAUUCUUUUUUUUAAAUUUUUAAUCUCUUUAAAAGAUAGUAGCUUUCUAAAUAAAAAAGAGUAGCAAUGUAUUGUGAGUUUACAGAGCACGUGGAAGUAAAAUGUAUGACAAUACAAAAUGGGAGAGUGGAAUUGAGAGUAUACUGCUGUAAGGUUACUGUUGUAAAUAUACUGUUGAAGGAUAUAUUUGAGGGUUGACUGUGAUUAAUUAAAGAUGCAUAUUGUAAACCCUGGGCAACCAGUAAAAUUUUUUUAAAGAUACAUAAAUAAAAAGACCAGUCUUGCCAUGAAGUAGGACAGGGGUUGACAAACUAUGACUCACAGGUCAAAUCUAGCCCACCACCUCUUUUUGUAAAAUAAAGUUUUAUUGGAGCACAGCCAUCCCAAUUUGGCUGCUUUCCCACUACAACAACAGAGUUGAGUAACUGUUGAGUAGUUCGAUCACAAACUCUAUGGCCCACAAAGCCUAAAAUAUUUAUUAUUUGGCCUUUUACAGGAAAGUUUGCCACCUCCUGGAGUAGGGGGACAAGGUGGCAACAGAGAGGCCGGUGGAGAGGCUGUUGUCCUCAUCCAGGUGAGAAAUGAUGGGAGCUUAGACUCAAGAGGCUAUGAUGAAUGGUUGGAAUUGGGUGAAUUUUGGAGGAGGACCAACAGAACAUGGAUAAAACUGACAGUAUUUAGAGAAGUUAUUUUCAAACUCUCUUUGUAGCACAGGAUCCUUUUCUUUAAAAAAAAAAAAAAA